GAAAACUCCCUGCUAUAGUUCACUAUGGGCCUGAGCUAAAGGAGCCACCAAAUCCAGAUGUGAUCACAAUCACAGAAGGAGACACUCUACACCUGAACUGCUCCUCUGUGGGAAACCCCAGCCCUCAUACACCUGGACACUUCCAACAAAUAGUCCUUCCUACAGUGGCAGCGUUCUCACUAUUAAAUCUGUCGGCUUUGAGCAUGAAGGACAGUAUAUCUGCACUGUGAGCAACACAGUAGGGACUGUCACCAAGGAGUUUAACAUUGAUGUACAAGUCAACUCCAUCCCAUAUAUAAUAGCUGG